UGAUAGGAUAUUUAAUAGAAGUGCUGCUGAGAGACUGGCACAUGUGGAACAGAGGAUAUGACGUGUCUGCAAUGUUAUGAAAGCUGUAGCCACUGGCUUGUGGGAGAGACAGAGAUUUGUUUCUUGGAUCCAGUAAAUAUUUCUGAAGCCUCAUUUGAAACGUCGGAGAAUGCAUUUCCUUCAUCACUGACUAAUGUCAGAAGCCUUACUCUGGGAGAUCCGUGUCCAUCGCACAGGCUGAUUCAUCUCCGUCUGUCAUAUACAAAACAGGAUCUGACUUUGUCCCUCCACGAUGGAAGAGGUCCUGCCUGUGACAUCCUUUCAGGGAAUCCCACAGUUUCCAUCUGAGAUGGGUACGUGCAUUUUAAGCGGAGGCACACACCAAUGCCUGGAGAGCGUUCACAGCUGCAGUAGGACACAGG